CAAUGAAUUUAAGAUUUAUAUAUAAAAUAACAAUUUUUAUUAGAA
rnacentral:tRNA from 1 species